UGAGGAAUAUUGGUCAAUGGGCGGGAGCCUGAACCAGCCAAGCCGCGUGAGGGAAGAAGGCCCUAUGGGUCGUAAACCUCUUUUGUCAGGGAACAAAAAGCGAGUAUGUAUACUAGUCUGAGUGUACCUGAAGAAAAAGCAUCGGCUAACUCCGUGCCAGCAGCCGCGGUAAUACGGAGGAUGCGAGCGUUAUCCGGAUUUAUUGGGUUUAAAGGGUGCGUAGGCGGCGGUGCAAGUCAGCGGUAAAAGCCCGGGGCUCAACCCCGGCGAGCCGUUGAAACUGCAGUGCUAGAGAAGGCGAGAGGUACGCGGAAUGCGCAGUGUAGCGGUGAAAUGCUUAGAUAUUGCGCAGAACUCCGAUUGCGAAGGCAGCGUACUGGCGCCUGACUGACGCUGAGGCACGAAAGCGUGGGGAUCGAACAGGAUUAGAUACC
rnacentral:rRNA from 1 species